rnacentral:rRNA from 1 species
AACGAACGCUGGCGGCAUGCCUAACACAUGCAAGUCGAACGAACCCUUCGGGGUUAGUGGCGCACGGGUGCGUAACGCGUGGGAAUCUGCCCUUUGCUUCGGAAUAACUCAGGGAAACUUGUGCUAAUACCGGAUGAUGUCUUCGGACCAAAGAUUUAUCGGCAAGGGAUGAGCCCGCGUAGGAUUAGGUAGUUGGUGGGGUAAAGGCCUACCAAGCCGACGAUCCUUAGCUGGUCUGAGAGGAUGAUCAGCCACACUGGGACUGAGACACGGCCCAGACUCCUACGGGAGGCAGCAGUGGGGAAUAUUGGACAAUGGGCGCAAGCCUGAUCCAGCAAUGCCGCGUGAGUGAUGAAGGCCCUCGGGUCGUAAAGCUCUUUUACCAGGGAUGAUAAUGACAGUACCUGGAGAAUAAGCUCCGGCUAACUCCGC